rnacentral:rRNA from 1 species
GAAUUAGUAGGCUGGUCAUGCCUCUAGUAUGUACUGGUCUCACUGAUUCCUCCUUCCUGAUGAACCUUAAUGCCAUUAAUUUGGUGUUUUGGGGAAUUUGGACUGUUACUUUGAAAAAUUAGAGUGUUUAAAGCAAGCUAACGCUUGAAUACAUUAGCAUGGAAUAAUGAAAUAGGACGUUCGAUCCUAUUUUGUUGGUUUCUAGGAUUGACGUAAUGAUUAAUA